GAUGAACGCUGGCGGCGUGCUUAACACAUGCAAGUCGAACGGAAAGGCCCAAGCUUGCUUGGGUACUCGAGUGGCGAACGGGUGAGUAACACGUGGGUGAUCUGCCCUGCACUUCGGGAUAAGCCUAGGAAACUGGGUCUAAUACCGGAUAGGACCACAUUUUGGAUGGUGUGGUGGAGAGUUUUUCGGUGUGGGGUGAGCUCGCGGCCUAUCAGCUUGUUGGUGGGGUAAUGGCCUACCAAGGCGUCGACGGGUAGCCGGCCUGAGAGGGUGUACGGCCACAUUGGGACUGAGAUACGGCCCAGACUCCUACGGGAGGCAGCAGUGGGGAAUAUUGCACAAUGGGCGCAAGCCUGAUGCAGCGACGCCGCGUGGGGGAGGACGGCCUUCGGGUUGGAAACUCCUUUCGCUAGGGACGAAGCGUUAUGUGACGGUACCUGGAGAAGAAGCACCGGCUAACUACGUG
rnacentral:rRNA from 1 species